UCCUUCUUAGCUCAGCUGGUAGAGCGCGUCACUAGUAUGCUUCAUCACGGAUGCUUAUACUAAUGAAUAAUGACGAGGUCAGUUGUUCAAGUCGGCUAGAAGGAA